GCGUCCUGAGCCCGUCUGGAUAGAUUCCUCGGCUACGACCCGAGCGGUCGGAGUUUCAAACCCUCCCGGAUGCACCA
rnacentral:tRNA from 1 species